GAAAAAGGAAGUUGUCCCUUCAUGUAACAAAUGUGAUAUUAUUAUUUCAUGGAUUGGCUAUGACAUGCAACAAAUCAUGAAAGAUCUCACAUUGGAGGUUCAAAUAGAAAAGUUCGGAAAUGGGAGGUGUAAUCGUAUGUAAAGAAUAUGCUAUUAUUGUUUCAUGGAUUGACUGGAACACGCAACAACUCAUGGAAGAUCUUGCAUUAGAGGUUCACAGAGAAAUGUCUUACAGGUUCAACAGAUAAAAUAAUAGCUGUAACAUCAGCAGUUGCACUAGCUAGAGUUUCAUUAUUGGCAAGCAUCGUUUAUGUGGGAAUUUAUAGAAAGGAAUAAAAGGUUGCCGCCCAUCUCCCGACGUCUUCUGAUCUAUCUCAUCCACCUGGUCCUGGUAAUUGGAGGCAUAGCUGUUAUCUCGCUAUCUGCAAACAGAUUCAACAAGACAUAAUGUUCUUGAAAAUUGUACUAUUGGCACCCCCAACGCAGCCCACAUCAUCUUGGUACAGAGACGGUUUUCCCUUUUCCUAAACAGGCUACACUUAUCAUCUGAGAACCUUCGAAGCUCUCUGAGAAAGCUGCAAGUCACCAAGUUCGACCAACUCAACCCCAAGACAAGUUAAACAAAGGAAAAAGUAUACAAUCCUUCGCCCAUUUCUCAAAAACUGCCAGCCACAAUGUCAGACUCAAUUCCUGCACAAUUUAGAUAAAGGAAAGCAAGUAUGCAGCCUAUUCACUAUCUUUGAAACAGAUAAUUAAUGGCUUCAUGCGGUCGCAUGUUUGACGGAAUUUCCUGUGAAGGUAAGACUUGUGUGUUAUGAAGAGAGAUUAGUUACAAGAGUUGAUUGUUUUGGCAGAUGAUUAAAGGUGCUAAUGAAGUUGAACGGUGGGCUUAGGUGAAUAGACAUUUUCCCUUAUAAUAUCUUUUUUUCAUAUGGUAUUUUCCCCAAAAAAUAUUGAGUAAGAAUUUCAGUUGCCGAAUUC